CCUACGGGAGGCAGCAGUGAGGAAUAUUGGUCAAUGGGCGAGAGCCUGAACCAGCCAAGUCGCGUGAGGGAGUACUGCCCUAUGGGUUGUAAACCUCUUUUGUCGGGGAGCAAAAGCCGGACGUGUCCGGCUGUGAGAGUACCCGAAGAAAAAGCAUCGGCUAACUCCGUGCCAGCAGCCGCGGUAAUACGGGGGAAGCGAGCGUUAUCCGGAUUUAUUGGGUUUAAAGGGUGCGCAGGCGGAUUUUUAAGUCAGCGGUAAAAUCGUGGGGUUCAACCCCAUCCAGCCGUUGAAACUGGGGAUCUAGAGUGUGCGAGAGGUAUGCGGAAUGCGUGGUGUAGCGGUGAAAUGCAUAGAUAUCACGAAGAACCCCGAUUGCGAAGGCAGCAUACCGGUGCACAACUGACGCUCAGGCACGAAAGCGUGGGUAUCGAACAGGAUUAGAUACCCCUGUAGUC
rnacentral:rRNA from 1 species